GGGGUUGUAGCUCAGUUGGUAGAGCGUUUGCCUUGCAUGUGUGAGGCACUGGGUUCAAUCCUCAGCACCA
rfam:Ictidomys tridecemlineatus contig036525, whole genome shotgun sequence.